CAAGCCUCUGAGAAUUACUCACAAGAACACUGCUAAGAAUUGACAAAAAUUCUUGACUCAAAGCGGCGCUUAAAAGUUAGUUAUCAAGCAUCUCAGUCAUAAUUUAAAUGAAGUGUAGGACUAUAUGCUAACCCUUGUGUUUUCAUG